UGCUCAGGUGUUGUCUACUGCUCCUGGCCCUCGUAGCCUGUGUGCUGGCCACGCCCACUCUCAACAAAGCCCAAGGAAACGCCUUCUUCAUGCAGAAGAAGUCUGAACUUCUCGAAAAGCCGACACAACUUCUCAGCGCCUUGUCAUCGAAAUUCAGCAAACCGAAGCCUGUCUUUAUUAAGCCGGUUGUAGUGAAGCCCAUUGUUGUUGUCAAGCCGGUGGUUGUGGGAGGUGGCAGCGGCGGUGGAGGUGGCGGCCACGGACAUGGGCAUGGUCACGGUCAUCAUGGCAAAACUAAACUCUUCAGCAAAUUUUAGUGUAAAUGGAAAAAAUUCAAUAAAUGUAUAUAUAA